rnacentral:rRNA from 1 species
GAUGAACGCUGACAGAAUGCUUAACACAUGCAAGUCGAUGGGGAAGUGGUGCUUGCACCAUGGUAACCAUGGCGGACGGGUGAGUAACGCGUAAGGAACUUACCUGCGGGACCGGGAUAACAGCAGGAAACUGCUGACAAGACCGGAUAAGGUCAUUAAGCUGCAUAGCUUAGUGAUGAAAGGAGACGCCUGCGGAGAGCCUUGCGUCCUAUUAGCUAGUUGGAGGGGUAACGGCCCACCAAGGCGAAGAUAGGCAGCUGGCCUGAGAGGGUGGACGGCCACAAGGGGACUGAGAUACGGCCCUUACUCCUACGGGAGGCAGCAGUGGGGAAUAUUGGACAAUGGGGGCAACCCUGAUCCAGCAAUUCUGUGUGCACGAAGACGGUUUUCGGAUUGUAAAGUGCUUUCAGUAGGGAAGAAGGAAGUGACGGUACCUGCAGAAGAAGCGACGGCUAAAUACGUG